UACAGAGGUCUCAAGCGUUUGUUCGGGAUUCAUUGGGCGUAAAGGGUGCGUAGGCGGCGCGGUAAGUCGGGUGUGAAAUCUCGGAGCUUAACUCCGAAACUGCAUUCGAUACUGCCGUGCUUGAGGACUGGAGAGGAGACUGGAAUUUACGGUGUAGCGGUGAAAUGCGUAGAGAUUGGGAAGAACACCAGUGGCGAAGGCGGCUAUCUGGACGGUUUCUGACGCUAAGACGCGAAAAGCGUGGGGAGCAAACAGG
rnacentral:rRNA from 1 species